CAUUCACGGAGAGUUUGAUCCUGGCUCAGGACGAACGCUGGCGGCGUGCUUAACACAUGCAAGUCGAACGAUGAACCACUUCGGUGGGGAUUAGUGGCGAACGGGUGAGUAACACGUGGGCAAUCUGCCCUGCACUCUGGGACAAGCCCUGGAAACGGGGUCUAAUACCGGAUACUGACCUUCACGGGCAUCUGUG
rnacentral:rRNA from 1 species